CUUCUCAGUUUACAUUUUUUAAAGUCAGUUUAAUCCCACAUACUUAGUCCUGUAAGCAAGCAAUUUUAGAAAAUUAAAUAGGAAUUUCCCUGUGUGUUUAUGGCAUGCUCAUGAUGAUAGAUCUGUGUUUGCAGUUAAAUAUUUCCCUGCAGUGUUUACUGAUUAAACAUUCAAGGCACACAGGGAACGUGACUGCGGGCUUGACUGCAAGCCAGCUGAAGAGAGAAAAUGUCAUUGACUCAGUUGGUUUUUAGGACAGAUAAAACAGCCCAGACACUGGUUGGCAAAUAAAUGUGCACAUCUCUCUAUUACCAUUGAAGAGGGAGCUUUCUUUUAGGUACAGGAGCAUUUACAAGCCAUUUAACUCCUAAAAAACUUGUAAAUAGAGCAUGGAGCAGUUUCACUCUACAGAAGGAUAUACUGUAAAUGGUGUUGGGGUCACCAUUGAAACAAACUGCAUGUAAACCAAGCAGUGAAAUAUGCCAUAUUUGAAGUGUUUUGUAUAUUGCAGAAAGAGUCUUCAAACAAUGCAAGCAAUGAUAUUCAUUUCCAGAAACCAGUCCUGUAAAGUCAGGCUCCACUGAGUAUUACAAAGGUAGAAAGGAGGUUCACUACCAGAAGUGUGCCUAAAGCUAAUGCUACUUACGUGGUAUAAUCUGACUAGAAAUAUUGCGUACAAGAAGAAAAUGAGGGUCCCUUUGUCAUCAAAAAGUACCACUUUGGUUUGAUGAAAACACAUACAAACUUUUCUAAAAUGUAAUGUUAGUGUGGCAUUAUCCGUGAAUGAGAAAGAGGGAUAAAACUCGUUCAGUAGUAAAGCCACUUUGUUGCCAAGAGGUCAGUAGUUCAAACAGUCCUAUAUGCUUAGUAACAGAGUUGUCAAGAAAUGUAAGAUGCGAAUUUAGUCCCAUAAGUUAACCCUGCAAACCUGUAAUUAUGUGGUCUCAUAACUGGCAGGAGGAACCCUGGAGUAGGAGGGUUCGCCAGACUGCAUUUUUGGAGGUGCAGAACACUUAAACUCAGUCUUAAAGAGUAAGGUGCCUGCCAGUAUUCCCACCUGCCACCUUGGUUCCUGCUGCAACCCUACUGCAUCUCUUCCCAAUGUGCUUCCAUGGUCUUGUUUCAACACCACUGCCAUAUGCUGCUGUAGAGAAUGCUUCUGCAGAUCAUACAGGCACAAGGUGUUCUGACCCAAUCGUUCCCAGUUGCUUUAUGACAAGAUAAGCUCUUCCCUCUCAGGACCAGGUCUUUUAAUGCAACUGAAUCGUCCAAUGCUGCAGGGAGGCACUGCAGUGAGCUGCUGCUGCCCUCCAGCAGGGCUGGGCCGGGGGAGGUCUGGAGGCACUCAGCUGCCUACAACACAUGGACAAUUGGGAACAUCAGCCAGGAAAGCCCCUGGCUCCUCCUGUCAGCAGCUCGCAGUGGCAUGGCAUAAUGAUGUCAGAGAGUGCUGAAAUCCGCGGAAAAGAUUUCUGAAAGAAUGGAGUCAGGCAACUGCAUAAUUUUGUUACAAUAAGCCUGCAUAUUAUAUUGGCCAGAGUUAAGUUUUAUGGCUUUGCUUGACAUAGUCAAGCAUGGCUAUUACAAAGAGAAUGCAUCCUGUCUUUUCCUGAGCUACUUUUAUUGCAAAACCUGUUAUUCAUCAUACGUUUGGUCAAAAAACUGAAAUAAUGCUUUUUCAGAUUUGCUCUCAAACACUUCCUGAGCAAACAGUAAAAGUUAAAGGCUGGCAGUUCAGGACUGUUUAUUGUUUCGUGGGGCUGUGUUAGUCUGAGUAUGUGAUGAAGGGAAACACAAAAGCAUACGCUUUAAAAAAGGAAUUGAGAAGGAGAUACAAUUCAGAAGUAUCAUUUCAGCCUUCUCGGAUGUCUUUUUGAAUCAAUGUCUUCUGGCACUGUGUGGACUUGGCGAGACACCAACCUGAGCACAGUGAGACUCGGUAUCGCAGGCCGUCACAGACGUAGUCCCUGAAAACUGGGACAAACAGAAAACAAAGUAAGGAAAAAGCGAGCACGCAGAACAGAGCAGCUUGCUGCUUGAACUCAUCUGAGUGCAAACUCAGUGCUGCUGUAUCACUGCUUCGAUCAGAAGACAAAAGCAACCGCAGUUUCUAAUCCCCCACAGGUAUGAACCAAGAACAUUCUUUUUGUCUUACAGCUGAAACCCGGCACAGUAACAAUCCCAACAGAACACGGAAAGCACAGGAGCCACACCAAACUCAUUUCUUUCUCAUCCCCGCCAUAUGCUUUAGGUCAUAAAAGCAACCCACUGUCAAAUUAAGACGUUUCCACACCAGAAAUUCUAAGGAGAUCAUCUGGUCAUGGAGAAAAAAAUCAAUGAGAUAUGUUGUAUGUGAACUUUGCAUACGAUAAUUAUUCCAAUCCGGUUAAUUUUCUGAUUUUCUUGCUUUCCAGGUUAACAUCACUGGCACGGUAUUCGUUAUAUAAGCGUUGCAGUAAAACCUCAAAGCAAACUUGUUAAUCCUUAACAACACAUACCAUUCUGUAUUCAUCAGAAGUUCUGUCAGUUCAAAAUUAACCGUCAGAGUAACGAAGAAGAGCUAAAAUAAAAAAGGAUUUUUUUAAGUUAGCGUCUGGCAGGAGAAUAUAAUAAGGAAAGUCCGAGGAACUGUUCGGAUAGUGUAAGGCAAGCAAUGAAGCAUAAAGGAAAAUGCAGGCGGGCUAUCAAAUACGAUCAUCCCAAGUGAAGUUUAUAGUUAGCUGUUGAAUUUGUAGUUUUAAAAAUUCACAGCUGAACCCGUUUGUGUCCUCAUGGCUUCACAAAGUGGUAGAGGAAGAAGGUAGUUUCUACCACAGUUCAAACAGGCUCUAAUUUACCCAAGGUAGAAUAAUCUGCAGCAGUUUAAAAAUUAAGCAUUGAUCUCCUGACUCAGCCUACUGCUCUCAUCAGAAGACACGAUCAUUCUUUUAAAGUGUCGACUGAGAUGUUUUAUUGAAUGUCUGAGCUAGCAACAGUGGGGUCCAAACUCCACAAUCACGUAUGUGGUAUUUGACAGCUUUCAGGUUGCAAGGCCAUGUAAGUUUUCUGCUGUUGAAGGCAACAGGCUGCUUUAGGCUGAAUGUCUUUAUGUUAAUCCCAAACCAUAAUGCAAACCCUUGCUUUAUGGGGUUCUGAUGAAGUUUUGAUAUCAGACUAAAAAAUACCUUCUACAUUAAUUUUCUACCUUAUCAAUAGGUUUAGUACCUGGUAACGUACAUUUUGGAAGAUUAAGUACAUUUAUGUUUCUCCAAAUCUGGUCUAUUCAUUGUAACUGUAAUUGUGAAACUAUUUAGGUGAGAUAUAGAUCAUUCGCUUUCGAUCAUAUUGCUGACGCUAUCUUUUGAUUUAAUUACAUUGCAUUUAAAAACCCAUUUAUAAUUAGAUGCUACCUGGCAACAUCUUAGAGGACCUGCCUGUGAGUAACCACAAAGUCCUUCCAACUUCUUUCUGUGAUGGCUUUAAUAAGCUCAGAUAUGGUCUAGCAGCCAACAGACAGAUCACAGCCUGCUGAGUAGAUCAGUAUUAUCUUGCCAUAUUAUUUUUCCCUUGGAAAAGUCAUCUCUUUUUCCUAAGCAUAAGCUGUUUCUUAUAAAAUGAAUGAGGAGUUUGUGCAAAACUUUCUGCUAAGGAGAAAACUUUCAAAGAGCAAUCAUUGCUGUGGCCCCUCAUGCGGCAAUGCUGAUUUCAUGUUAAGAAGCAUCUCUGAAUGGAAGGAAAUCAAUCGAAUCUGUGCAGAGCACAGACAGGAUGUGGAAUGCCAGAUAGGCAUUCGCUUAAACUGUUUGGAGUCAAUGGAGAGAAGCAAAGCACAAUUUGAUCUGUUUUAGGCAUCUUCAGUAGGGUGAGAUGAAUCACAUCUUAAAAAUGGCACUGCUGACUGCUGAGGCCAUUGAGACAACCAGCUCCAAUAUAGGCAUCUGCACCAUAGACAUCCGAAAAUCUCUGCAAAGCUAAUUGACCGGGCUCACAGGAGAUCCUAAUGUGGAACAGCCUUCCUGCACCACCACUUCAGCCUUUCAGACUGGCAGCUUUAUUUAGUCUGAAAAUCCUUUUGAGGAAGAGACCAUCUUUUUACUUGGAAUUAGCAUUGCACUUGCAACCAGAAGUGUGACAGGCAAGGCGGUAAAGCUUCUGCUAACAACAGAAACUUCACCAAGUGAACAUACACUAACAUCCCUCACAGAGCUACAACAGUGUGUGUGUCAGUGCAGCCAGUAGGAUUUAUCAGCGUGUACUUGAACACUUCUGCCUAGAAUGUCGAAUGGCCAAGUAACAGAACUAAAUCCAGUCCUGUCUGUAGGGCACGCAGGCAAAGACUACAAUUCUGUCUCCUUUGAAGUCAGCUGUAAAUCUGUCUUUGGCUCUGAUGGCAACAGCCUUUAAAAUAAGGAGUCCAGAGCAUAACGUGCAUAAGAUAAAAAAGAAAUCACAUUAUUAUUUACCAGCACUUCUCAGACUGUGUGUUGAGGCAUCAUCACUCAGAAAGGAAAAGAGAACAACUUUAUAAGAAACAGUAUUUCACAAUACAUAUAUAAAGUAAACUAAAUAUGACUGGUCUCUGUUGCAGGUGAAACAUCUUUUCCACUGUCUGUUUUUUUACAGUAUUUUUUUUUUCAUGCAUUUUACCACCUCUUUAUGCUAACCGUGGAUGAACUAAUAAUUCCUAUUUUAAUCAAUCUGUCAUCCAUUCUUCUCCGUGCAGGACUUCCUUCCUUAUAAACAUUUUGAUCAGAAAGGGUAGUAUUUCCUUCAUGUUAUGCAAAGCUUGGGUUACAAAUUACCAACCUAUGCAUGUUUGUCCCUUAUUUAUAUAGUUUUUAAAGGAAUAAAAGCUGUCAAAAAACUUGCUCUCCCUGACUUUUUUGGCUUAUUUUUUAAGAUUUCAUUGAUCUGAUUUCACUUUUACCUCAUUUCAGCUGCAACUGUUAACUGAGAUCAAAAUGAUGGAGACUGCCGUCUACUGGAUACUGAGUCAAUGAUGAAAGAUAGCAAAUUUGCCUACUCAGAGGGGUUCGUUGGCUGUCCAAGGGCUGGCCUGUCACUGAAAUCACCUGCAUAACAUGGGAAAUGAUAAAAUCAUAGAUGGUAGACAAGAUGUGACUUGGCUGGGUUGGGAAAACAGCAUUAGUCGUUUUGUAAUUAUUAGGAAAUACAAACUGGAACAGAAGAAGAACAGAACAGAAAGAACUGUUGAAAAAUUAAUUUAUCAUAGAUAAAAACGUGGAGAGGGCUAUCCUGAAGCUGUAGCCAUAGCACCCUGAGCCAUCCGUAGCAUUGGUUAUCUGACCUCCCCCGGGCUUACCAGGGCUAUGCUUUACAUACAAGGAAUAUAUAUAUAUAUAUUUUCUGUUAUGUUCUUUUUGCCUGUGGACCACAGGCCCUGUCCUGUCGCUGCGUAUGCAAGUCACCAGCUGGGAGAGGUUAAGAUAUUUUAACUAGCUGAUGCGGCUAUUAAAUGUUAUGAUUUAGGUCAUAAAGGAAGAUUAGCACUGGCAAACCCUCCUGCCAUCUGAAGAGCUAUAUCUGGAUGAUGUGACAGGCAGGAGAAAGAAAGUGGACAAGCCAAGAAAGCCCUUUUUUUUUUGCUGUCCCAGAUAAUGAUCAUCUGAUGUGGGAUUGGGAUCACUUGAGCAGACCAUGGGAUCAGAUGAUGACUGCGGACUCAGAGAGAGUGGGGGAUAUCAUCUGAUGGAAGUUAUAAAAAGGUUUCUCUCAGGGGGUAUUUUCAAAUGACAGAAGGCGCUGCUUACAGGAUAUAGCAGUUCCGAGAGAUGACCAAGAUAUUAAGGAAAAGCUUAACUCCAUUUUGCCCUGCCAUGUGAUGGGUUCAGGGACAAAAUUGUGCUGGGAUUCACAAACAUACGUUCAUCUAAUCUUUUUCUGCAUUUGGUUUGGGGAGGGAGGAGAUACUAGUUGGGAUUUUGGGGAAUUCUUUUCCGUGGUCAAAUACCUGUAGAGAAACAUGGAAAGGAACUGUAUCAGGCCUUUACAUUUUGGGAGUUAGGGGAAAAAAAAAAAACAACCCAAAAACACAAAAUCCUUCACCCAGGAUAUGUGGGUGAGAGGCAGGACCCUGGACUAAGGUAGGACACACCAGCAAGGAUAUUGGUGAAGAGGUGAAGGUAAGGAAUGGUCUCUCGGUGAUUUUCAUGGGUGUUUCUUGGUGUUAUCAAAAGAAUCUGUGAGUAUGUCAGGCUUGAAACUCGACUGGUGAAUGUGCUACCACAAGCAGUGUGUUCCUGAAGGAGGAGGUGUACAGGAUGAUCAGGAUUUCUGGGCCAUUGGACCUCAGGUCUCACUUUCACAGAAGUUCUUCUCCAGAAGAUUGCUUACCUGUCUGGAUCAAAGGAAAUCCCAUCAUAAGGGUUCAAAUACAGCACUCUGGCCUAUAUCCAGGAGAGGGCUUUCAAAAAGCAGAGUAUAAUAGCUGCUAUAAUUUAUGGUAGCGUUUACUCAAGCAAUUACCUCUUAUCUGAGUUUCCUAAAACUUCCUGAAAUUGUUCUCUUGUUCUGUGAGGUGCCUUACAUCCUGUGAUAUAAUUUGACUCUCCAGGGUCCUUGUUUGCAGACCUUAAAAAAAAUUAAAUCUUCACUCAUCCCUGUAAUCAGUUUGAAUGUGCUUCCUUGCUUAACUCAACACGCUUGUUCUUCAAGUUAGAUUUUUUCUUUAUGGUUUCCAAUAAGAUGUAGACUCUGCAGUAGCUAAAAUUUAAUUGGAGACAGUUUCCUGCCUCUUUUUUGCCUUUAAAGAUUAGAGCAAUGCCCUAGCAAGUCUACAUAUUUGAUUGUGAGCAUCCAAGAAAAUGGAGAUAAAUUUUGUUUUAGUAAACAGUAACGUGCUCAGACACAGAAGCAGAAGUAGGAAUUAAAGAAGUAAAUUCAUUAGACUACUAAGUUCUAGUUUUCUUAGCCAUCGACAUGUCUUUAUAAGAUAAACUGUUUUGCUAAGAGGUGAACUUCAUCACUCGUCAAAAUUAUGGUACCACAUCCUUACCUCAAGUUGUUUUCUAAGUCAGAAACUUGUAAGACCCUUUUUUCCCUAUUAUGCCUUUCUGAAAGCAAGUAUCUGUCUGGUUUCUAUCUUCCCUCUCCUGCAAAUUUACUACAACCUCUAUCAAUUACAAGCAAAUACUAAAGAAUUAGAGUUUGGGUAGUAGGGUUUUUUUUGUUGGUUUGCUUCUCUGUGUGUUUUUGUCGUUGUUAACAUUCUGGUGUAAAAAAUGACCCGAUAUGACACAUAAACACUGAAGGUGAUGAAGCAACUUCCAGGAGUUUGAUUCAAACUCUAAGCCUCUUUUGUUUCUAGCACCUGCUUUUCCCAUUUUGUUACUAUCUUCUAACAGUCACUUCAGCAUAGGCUGUUACCACAUUGUGCUGUUUGUACAAAUGUACAUUGUGCUUGUACUGUACAAAUGCCUCUGUUUAGCAUAAAUUAACAAUAUUUUGAAUAUAAAGAAUCAGACGUGAAAGAUUCUGUGUGUAUGUACACGUUAAACAAGCAUGUUUGACUUCAAGGCUUCAUUUAGCAUUACAAGAUGACCACUUUAUUGACAGGUGACAAAGCUGUGAGAUAUACAGGUAGUCCUAAAAGAGUGCUAACAAAUCUUCUGUGAACUAUCUAAAAUAACACAAGGAUAAAGGUCUUCCUAUAAGAUAUUUCUUUGCUGUCUGUGAGGAAUAUGUUGUUUUCAACUUUAGUUCCUGAGGUGAAUUUCAGGCUGUGGCACCUGUAGGUGAAAUAUUUACAGAUCAGUUAAUAUAGACGGAUGCAGUCAGAGAAGAUGAACUGCGAUUAAAAUACUGUAAUUAAAAAUACUGUUAUGUUUGGUAUUUCAGCUGGCUAUGGAUGCGUAUGGAAAAAAAAGGUGAUGCAGGCUAAAAUGUACUUCUACUGCAGGUUGUUGCAUACAAUUACAGGCCUUUAUCCUGACUUUUUCAUAGAAUCAUAGAAUGGCCUGGGUUGAAAAGGACCACAAUGAUCAUCGAGUUUCAACCCCCCUGCUAUGUGCAGGGUCGCCAACCACCAGACCAGGCUGCCCAGAGCCACAUCCAGCCUGGCCUUGAAUGCCUCCAGGGAUGGGGCAUCCACAACCUCCUUGGGCAACCUGUUCCAGUGUGUCACCACCCUCUGGGUCAAUACUGCAGAUUUCUUCCUUUUGCUGAAUGUUUUCCUGUGGCUAUACCAACAUUUCCAAGCUCUUCAGAUGAAGUCCAGUGCUGAUCCAUAAAAUUCCCAACCACAUAAAAAAGAAUAGGAUCUCGUUUCUGCAGAUUCCUGCAAGAGAGGAGCCAAGAGCUGUAACGUUCGUAGUGCCUGACAACAUUAAUCAUCGAUCCUAUUGCGAACUGCUUCUGGGUGGGAUGUUUCUGGGUUUGUAACUACAUAUGGCUCCUAUCAUUUGCGGCUUCCGCAAGCAAUUCUAGUUAUCCUUCAUUAAAAAGACUUUAAAU
ensembl:lncRNA